UGUAAUAAAAUAUCGCUGCUGACCCCAUUUAUAGCUCUGACUAGAGCUCAUUACUUUCUCUCGGUGUACAGCUGGGUAUAACGACUGGCAAACCAGUGUUUACUGUUUAGAGGUGUUUUUAGCCGUUACGAGGACAAACACCGGUGUGAGUUCAGUGAAAAGUGUUACAUUGGUGGUGGAAUCAUGUGUUCUUUAUCUUGGUAUGUUUCGUCAAGAAGCACUAUUAUUGGAGGAACUGGAAGGUGAUCCAGCACAUAGCCAUAGCAUGCAGCAGCCAACAUCAAAGUGGCAGACGUCGCCUCCGGCAGCAUGACUGUCUCUGCAGCCUGUGGCGCAGCCAGCAAUGGGGUCGCACCAGGUCGCUCAGCGACACCCUGGAGGACCCAGAUUUCUCCAGCAGCCUGACUGUUGCAUCGUCUGCCUAUGUGGCUACGGUCGUCGAAGAGCACCCUGUGGUUGGUUUCCCAGUCGGCUUUUCCAGUCACAUGCAGGGUGAAUACCAGGGUGUGGGUGGAUGCUCGGCGCCCACUUAAGUACCGGCACCUGACUCAGCAAGUGCGUCAGCUCUCCGUCCCCUCCCCCGGCCGUCGUGUUCCAUUCCAAUACCAGAUGUUGCAGUGGAUGUUUGGGGAGAGGAAUGCGGUUUCGUCGAAUAUCGAGAGCGGCUCAAGGAGUAUCGACUACCGCAGAGAUAUUGCACAGCAAUGUGGUAUCACGAGACGCCAAUGAGACACUAAGAAGAAGCUGUGCGUCCCGUAGUUGCGAGGCGCCACCGCCACGCUUCUGCCCUGAGGCCAGGAGGGCAUUUCUGUUCAAGGUCAGAUCCUGUCGACUUAGAGAAACUUCCUGUCGGAGUAACGUCGUUCUGCUGCCUACUCGCUGUAACACAGAUCGUAAAGAGACUUCUGUCACGUGUGAACUACGGCUACGCCCCAACACUAACAAAACUGUGUCAACAAGUGUCUGUGGACUUGUGUUCUCUAGUGACUGUAGUGAGGACACAUUACAGCCAUUCUGAACCUUUAUCAAUUCUCCAUUCAGUGAUCGUGGUUCAUGUAGUGCGUUCUGAACCGCAAAUCUGAUUCUGAAGUCUCAUAGCCACAACCGUGUUUGGCGAACAAAGAGAAGUUUCGUUGUACUUAAUAAAGAAUGUUCAGAAUGUUC